AAAGCCUUACAUUUUAAAAGACGACAAAUAUGAGACAAAGUACAAGACUGACUUAAAAGAGGGAACUCAAUUUACUACGGGAAAGGUUUUGGUAACUCGAAGGAUAUGCAUCUUCAAAGGGACUCGACUAUCUUUAAAUUGUGUAUCCACUGUAUCACUAAUUUAUGUAACAUGAGACUUUGUAUUUUAUUUUAUUUGUACACUUAAUAUUUAUCUUAAUAGUUUUCUC